rnacentral:lncRNA from 1 species
GGCUGAAUGGGCAUGAAGAAAGCUUACCCAGGGCAGUUACUGGGUAAGCUGAAGUGGGUUCCUGCUAGCUGAAGCUGGAGAGAAGCCCCAUUUCAUAGGGAGCUGCAGAGAGGGACCACGCUGCAUCUGCAAUCAGGUAUAUUUUAUUUGUAUUGAUACCCUGGGAAUACCGAAAGACAAAGUGAGAUGCUGCAGCUGAAGGUAAAACCUUUCCCUUGUUUAUCUGCUCAGCAGUAAAUUCAUUUAUGA